rnacentral:rRNA from 1 species
UCCUACGGGAGGCAGCAGUGGGGAAUAUUGGACAAUGGGCGUAAGCCUGAUCCAGCUAUGCCGCGUGGAUGAAGAAGGCCUUCGGGUUGUAAAGUCCUUUCGUUGGUGACGAUAAUGACGGUAACCAAAGAAGAAGCCCCGGCUAAUUUCGUGCCAGCAGCCGCGGUAAU